UACGUAGGGGGCAAGCGUUGUCCGGAAUCAUUGGGCGUAAAGAGCGUGUAGGCGGCCUGGUAAGUCCGCUGUGAAAGUCCAGGGCUCAACCCUGGAAUGCCGGUGGAAACUGUCAGGCUCGAGUCCGGAAGAGGCGAGUGGAAUUCCUGGUGUAGCGGUGAAAUGCGCAGAUAUCGGGAGGAACACCGAUGGCGAAGGCAGAUCUCUGGGCCGUAACUGACGCUGAGGAGCGAAAGCGUGGGGAGCGAACAGG
rnacentral:rRNA from 1 species